AAAAAAUUUAAAUCACCUUAAAGUAACACGCACAAAAAUUGUGUAAGUUUGAAUGAACAAAACAGUUUAUUAAAAACAACUAUCACGGUUUGUAGACACCACAAACACAUUUUAUAAUUUCAAUAAUCAACGUUUUUCGGUUUGACCAACAUUUUGCUGUCUGGACAAACAUGUUUGUUGUCUGAACAUAAACCCCUUUUAACGUGUAAGAAAAAUAAACAGUGUAUGUUUUCACUUCAACUUCAACAACAAGAUGGCCGAAGUGAAAAAUGUCGAAUUCUGGGGAUGUUUGCGAAAUAGCAAAGUAUGUAUUUUAUUUGAUAUUUAAUUUAUAAACAAAUUGUUGUUCCAGUGAUAUACAACUAGGCUGGUGGAAUCCUGUGGAAACUAGGUAAAAGAAAACAUGGUGCAACUCCAGCAGCUGAUUUUCCUAUUCAGCGUCCCGCGAAAAUGACUAUCAAAUAAGCGUGGCCGGAACUCUCCAUAAUGUGUUGUAAUUUUGAGUGAAAAAAGUUAAAUAAACCUCAUCGAAAAACCUAGCUUUUGUUUACCUAUAUUAGGAAGACAAAGAAGAAGAAGAAAAGCCUCCCCAGAUUUUUUUUAUUCUAAUAAAAAUGAUCUUUGAAUCAACAA
rnacentral:lncRNA from 1 species